rnacentral:lncRNA from 1 species
CUCGUUUUCACUGACAAGCGGUACAUGACCAUGUGCCAGUUAGGCCGCAGAGAGAGGCUCGCUUGUUGGCAGCACGGUUUGAUUGUGGGUCAAAAAUCCAGCAGAGCAAGUUUGUAGUAAGGUCUAGUUACAUUUACAUUUUAGUCAUUUAGCAGACACUCUUAUCCAGAGCGACUUACAUUAGUGAGUGCAUACAUUUCAUUAAAAAAAAUUGUACUGGCCCCCUGUGGGAAUCAAACCCACAACCCUGGCGUUGCACACACCAUGCUGGCAUUGCAAACACCAUGCUCUAACAACUGAGCCACAGGGAAGACCAGUUAUUCAAUUGCUAAAUAGUAAUAUACUCUAAAACGCUCUGGUGACAAACAAACUUCACUGCCCUGUUUCCAAUCGUCCACAUGGCUGGGAGAACCUAUUCAAGAAGAUACCUUGUAACUGGUGAUUCCUUCAAAACGAUUUCCUACAGUUACGUGUAGGGCACUGCAAGGUUGGGUGACCAGGGCCAUCUGGGACUGCCUCCUGGAGGAAUUCAGGUGUGUGUGAAGGCUACCUGUGUCCUGCAUAACUUCAUGAGGAUGGACACAAGGACCAGGAGGGGAUCUGCAGCUCGCCGCCGCGUGCCAGAGUAGAAGUCUGCUGCUCUGCAGGAUGUUUCAAGGAUGGGGUCCAACAACGUAGCAAGAGAGGCAAUCCGUGUGCAAGAGAUCUUCACCUCCUACUUCUUCGAAGAGGGUGCUGUUCCCUGGCAACACCAUAGACUACACUAUGCACAACCAAAGGCUCUUUUAAGAGCUAUUCACAUUGCAAUAAGAGUAUUCUUCCAUUUACUGAGCUAUGUCAACUGCAGUUAUUCAAUUCUCAGUUUCUCUCCCUUUGAUUUCUACUUCUCAUGUGAGGGUGCUAUUUAGGUAAGGGUGUGAUGUCUACAAAAGCAAAACAGGCUAUUUUAAAUCACCCAUAUUGAAACAAUUUGGAACAAUUAGACACCCUAUAACCCACACGUACACUCAUGUAUCAAUCUGAUUGAUGGAUUGUGUUGUGCAGUAAGCAGGUUCAGGUGUAUAACUGUGGCUCCUUCCACCUUCAAAUAAUAGGCAAGAGGGACAACCGUGGAGAAUAGUUAUAUCAGCUGUGGUUCGUGAACCCCUACUGCAUCUGAACUGGCUGACAGAGAGGGCACAGCAUGAUCAGAGGUAUGAUUUGAUGUGAGGAUGCCAACCCCCAGUCCCGUCAUCGCCACCUCACCCGCUCUUAAGACAACCUUCGGUCCGACGAGAGACACUAUUAUGUAAUUGUGAUGAACUGAGAGAAUAUUUGGGUAGCACUGUGAUUCAUUAAUCAUAUGCUGCCUUCCCUGCUCCUAUGUUCUUACCUCUUUCCCUUUGUUUUUUACACCUCUCUCACCACCUCCUCUUUCUUCCUCUGUUUUUAUAAUGCACAAUAGAUGUGCAUUGAAGUAAAGAUUGAACUUAUAUUUAUAAUAUAAUAUUCCAAUUAUAACAUUUAUA